CCUUUUCCAGCGCGGCGGAGGGCGCCCCCUAGAACGCAGAGGGGGGGCAGAGGGAAGUGAGAUGGGGACUACGGGGUCUCCAGUGGUUCAAACCCUGUCGUUCCUCCGCGUUACAGAGCUACAGCGGUCUCCGGGUGGCGAAGUGCGGAGACGGGGUUUUGGAGACGGUGGAUGGAGGAGGGGGAGGGAAAGCUGCCAACUUUGGAUACCAACCCCGUACACCCACCGAAGGGGAUGUCCCACUUUUUCCAGCGCUGGGAGCAAAAAGAUAACAGUGAGCGAGGUUGAAAACACCUGACAGUGAAAAGAGCAAUUUGAAGAAAAACAAAAUUUAUCUUCAAUGUGAAAAGCAAUUUAUAAAAAUCCGAAUACUUGCCAGGAGCAACUUGACAAAAAAGACAAAGGUGGUAGAAGAAAUGUAACCAGCCCACAAUUCCAAUGUUGAUAACAGAUGAGCUCCCUUUCAAGGUGACUGACAUUUACACAAGUACACAGAGCAAGAAGAAGGUCUGAGUGAACUGCCAAGCAUUUUAACUUCUCCUGAGACCAAGUACAUCAACAGUUCUCUUGGAAAAGAACAACUGAUUUGGGAGUCUAGCAGACUGCCAGCUGCAAGACAUUCAUCCAGCAUCAGGAACACAAUGGGCCUUCAUUUGCCUGCCUUUCUGAGGGCACCAAUCAAAAGUAACAGCUGCCACCUUUUUCUAUGAGACUUGAUUAUAAUUUUCUAUGGCCAAGGGUUUGCUGUGACACUUCCACAUCAUUCUUCAGUAUGUAGUCCAGAGAUUAGCUACAGAUUCAAGAAACACAGACUGUAAACUAUUAUAUACAGACAUAUCUCAAAAUAAGCAUACCCAUUAGUGCCAGCUGCCCUGAAAGACUGAAUGACCCCAGCUAUUUUCCAAAUGUUUUUUCAGAAAGCCAUGAACACACCUUUCUGGGAUCCUAUCUAUUUCAAAGACAGGCAAAGCUCUGUGGUUCAGUUCCACCACCCAGUACCAAGCCCACAGUAUGCAGACCAUACGCCUUACACAUGGCCUUUUCUCUUUAUGUAAUUGCUGUACCAUAUUCAGCAGAUCUAGACUGACUCAAAGCAUGUUCCCUCAAGAAGCUCCACAGAAAAAAAGGUUUCUGUGAUCAAAAAUCAUUUGGGAAAUGCUGCAAACCCUAUCUGCCUCUUAGAGCUUAACCAUGCAUGUCGGGGCAUAAUAUAAACCUUUUCCAGUCUGGGCCACAGAGUGAGACCCCACCUCUAAAAUAAUAAAUCAAUAAACUCUUGAGAAGUACACAGAAAAGAAACUUCUGUAACUUUUUAGGUCUUAAUUACAAGCAAUUGUAGCUUAA
rnacentral:lncRNA from 1 species